GACGAACGCUGGCGGCGUGCUUAACACAUGCAAGUCGAACGAUGAAGCCGGAGCUUGCUCUGGUGAAUUAGUGGCGAACGGGUGAGUAACACGUGAGUAACCUGCCCUUGACUCUGGGAUAACUGCUAGAAAUGGUAGCUAAUACCGGAUACGACCCUCGGAGGCAUCUUCAGGGGGUGGAAAGAAUUUCGGUCAAGGAUGGACUCGCGGCCUAUCAGCUAGUUGGUGAGGUAACGGCUCACCAAGGCGACGACGGGUAGCCGGCCUGAGAGGGUGACCGGCCCCACUGGGACUGAGACACGGCCCAGACUCCUACGGGAGGCAGCAGUGGGGGAUAUUGCACAAUGGGCGCAAGCCUGAUGCAGCAACGCCGCGUGAGGGAUGACGGCCUUCGGGUUGUAAACCUCUUUUAGUAGGGAAGAAGCGAAAGUGACGGUACCUGCAGAAAAAGCACCGGCUAACUACGUGCCAGCCGCCGCCGUAA
rnacentral:rRNA from 1 species